rnacentral:tRNA from 1 species
GGUUUUAUAGCAUAAUGUUAAUGCGUCAAAUUGCAAAUUUGACGAUUAUGAGUUCAAAUCUCAUUAAAACCU